rnacentral:rRNA from 1 species
AUUGAACGCUGGCGGCAUGCCUUACACAUGCAAGUCGAACGGUAACAGGUCUUCGGAUGCUGACGAGUGGCGAACGGGUGAGUAAUACAUCGGAACGUGCCUAGUAGUGGGGGAUAACUACUCGAAAGAGUGGCUAAUACCGCAUGAGAGCUACGGAUGAAAGCAGGGGAUCGCAAGACCUUGUGCUACUAGAGCGGCCGAUGGCAGAUUAGGUAGUUGGUGGGAUAAAAGCUUACCAAGCCGACGAUCUGUAGCUGGUCUGAGAGGACGAUCAGCCACACUGGGACUGAGACACGGCCCAGACUCCUACGGGAGGCAGCAGUGGGGAAUUUUGGACAAUGGCGCAAGCCUGAUCCAGCAAUGCCGCGUGCAGGAUGAAGGCCUUCGGGUUGUAAACUGCUUUUGUACGGAACGAAAAGCCCUGGGUUAAUACCCUGGGGUCAUGACGGUACCGUAAGAAUAAGCACCGGCUAACUACGUGCCAGCCGCCGCCGUAA